AACACUAAAGUCAAUUUAUCCCUUGUGCUCAUUUUUUCAACUCAUUGGACCUCGCACCCGUCGUUUUCUACCACAACACGCCGUCGUCAGCCAACGACAGAUCUUCAUGAAGCUCACCAAAACCAUUGUGGCUGCGAGAGCAGUACUCGUUGGAGAUCGAACUUAUCUAUCAAAAAAAUCGCGCGUGACCCACAUAAAUCAUUUUCCUCGUGUCAUAGUUCAGAUCUCCACCGAUCGACCCUAAGAGUUCGCCAAAACUCGUUGUUGCAAGUCACGCACAACACAGAUCGUGGCCAACAACCCAUGAGGUUUUGAGGUUCUCCCAUCAAGAACUACAAAAUUUAAGUUACAACUACAAAGGCCAAUGGCAUUGGAGUUAUUGGGCUUGACAAGUGGUGGAUAAAACAACAUGGUAUAUAACAGAGUCUAAGUUGGAAACACAGAAAAAUUACACGAAUAAAGGCUGAGAGAUUCCAAUUUCCACAUCAGAGGGAAGAAGCAAAAAAAGAAGUAGGCACACUUUCCACCUAUGCUUUCUUCAUACAGGUGGUGAGCACAAAGGCACUGGAUGUUGGAACCGGAUGUUGCAAGUGGUCCUCCAUCAUUAAAUGAUGUAAGGAGAUGAAGCACAUGAGAUUAUGCUAGUUAGGAACAUAAGUAUAGAGAUUUUGGAAAAUGUUAUGAUAAUGUAAGAACCUAAGUAUUUAUUUGCUAGAUUAUGGUUUUUUUAACACGUAAAUGUUUUGGUGAUGUAUUGGAUAAUGUGAACCUUAAUAUGAACUAUGAAUGAAAGUAUUUG